UGCAGAGGGAUUCCCCCCCCCCACCCAGGCCCGCUGAAUCAGAAACUCUGGGGGGGGGGGGGGCCCAACCGCCUGCUUUUUCAGCCCUCCCGGAGAUCCGCAUGCGUGGUCCAGUCUGAGACCCACUGGCCCAGGGCCAUGGCUCUCUGGGGUCUGGGCCCCGGAAUCCCGAUGCCAGAAACAACUCCCUCGGCUUUGCCCAAGGCCAGGCAGCUGGGAUAAGGCAGAGCUGGGGCUUCCAGAUGCUCUCUGACCUCGGUGCUCCACCCACUGCGCCCUCACCGUCUCCCCGUCCCGCAGCCCUGGGACCUUUCAGACCAAUCGCUCAGAGGCUGCGUGAGGCUGAGAAGCUCUUUCUUCAGCAACCAAAGCUGAAGAAGGGGGAACGGCCGCACCGUCCAGAACCAUGACAGCGGGAGACAUCACAACGUGGGUUUACGUGAUCCCUGGCACUUUGAAAAUCGUCUCCACCUGGCUGGCGUAGCUCAGUGGAUUGAGCGCAGGCUGCGAACCAAAGUGUCACAGGUUCGAUUCCCAGUCAGGGUACAUGCCUGGGUUUCAGGCCACGGCCCCCAGCAACCGCACAUUGAUGUUUCUCUCUCUCUCUCUAUCUCCCUCCCACUUCCCUCUCUAUAAAUACAUUUUUAAAAAUCUUGAAAAAAAAAAAAGAAAAUCGUCUCUGCAUGGUGACAAUUCAU